rnacentral:rRNA from 1 species
UCCGUAGGUGAACCUGCGGAAGGAUCAUUAAUGAUUAACUGUCUGUCGAGCUUGCUCACAGACUUAUCAUAUCCAUAACACCUGUGCACUUGUCGGAUGGCUUAGUGAAGACCGCAAGGUUGGAACUAUCCAUCUACUUUACAUAACAAUUUAGUAACAAAUGUAGUCUUAUUAUAACAUAAUAAAACUUUCAACAACGGAUCUCUUGGCUCUCGCAUCGAUGAAGAACGCAGCGAAAUGCGAUAAGUAAUGUGAAUUGCAGAAUUCAGUGAAUCAUCGAAUCUUUGAACGCACCUUGCGCUCCCUGGUAUUCCGGGGAGCAUGCCUGUUUGAGUGUCAUGAAAACCCUCAACCUUAGAUUGGUUAACACCUUUCUUUGGCUUGGAUUUGGACGUUUGCCGAUGAUAAGUCGGCUCGUCUUAAAAGUAAUAGCUGGAUCUGUCUCGCGACAUGGUUUGACUUGGCGUAAUAAGUAUUUCGCUAAGGACAUCUUCGGAUGGCCGCGUUGCAAGACUAAAGACCGCUUUCUAAUCCAUUGAUCUUCGGAUUAAUAUUCUUGACAUCUGGCCUCAAAUCAGGUAGACUACCCGCUGAACUUAAGCAUAUCAAUAAGCGGAGGAAA